GAUGAACGCUGGCGGCGUGCCUAAUACAUGCAAGUCGAGCGAACGGACGCGGAUCUCGCUUCUCUGAUGUUAGCGGCGGACGGGUGAGUAACACGUGGAUAACCUACCUAUACGACUUGGGUAAGUGCGGGAAAGCCGAGCUAAUACCGGGUGAUAUUUUUAACCGGAUGGUUCAAAAGUGUAUGACGGUCUUGAUGUCACCUAUAGAUAGAACCGCGCUGGAGUAGUUAGGUGGUAAGGUAACGGCUGACCAAGGCCACGAUGCAUAGCCGACGGGGGAGGGUGUACCGCCCCACUGGGACUGGGACGCGGCACUGACUCCUAGGGGAGGCAGCGGUAGGGAAUCGUGCGCAAUGGGCGAAAGCUUGACGGAGCAGCGCCGCCUGAGUGCUGAGGGUCUUCGGAUCGUAAAACUCUCUUAUUAGGGAAGAACAUAUGUGUAAGUAACUGUGCACAUCUUGACGGUACCUAAUCAGAAAGCCCCGGCUAACUACGUG
rnacentral:rRNA from 1 species